rnacentral:rRNA from 1 species
GAUAAAGGCUCAGAGAAUGUGGCAUCCUCGGAUGUGUUAUAGCUCUGGGUCGCAUACAUUGGCUGGGACUGAGGAACUCAGCACGCCGAAAGGCCAGGUUUCGACCAUGUUCGUGCUUAGGAUGCUGGCAUAAUGGCUUUAAUCGA